CCCUUAGAUGUUCUGGGCUGCACACGUGCUACACUGGCAGGUUCAGCGAGCUUCAUGCCCUGAUCUGAAAGGAAUGGGAAAUCUUUUCAAAACCUGCCGUGCUUGGGAUAGAUGUUUGCAAUUAUUCAUCUUCAACGAGGAUUGCCUUGUAAGCGCACGUCAUCAGCGUGCAUUGAAUACGACCCUGUAUUCUGUACACACCGCCCGUCGCUCCUACCGAUUGAAGUUUUCGGUGAGUUGACAGGAGGAUUUUUUUGAAACUGGUUCGCCAGUAGAUUUUAGAUCCAAAUGCCAACGAAUCGAUGGCUUUAGAGGAAGGAGAAGUCGUAACA
rnacentral:rRNA from 1 species